UACGAGGGGGGGCAAGCGUUGUUCGGAAUUAUUGGGCGUAAAGGGUGCGUAGGCGGUUUGGUAAGUCUGAUGUGAAAUCUAUGGGCUCAACUCAUAGUCUGCAUCGGAAACUGCCGGGCUUGAGUGUGGGAGAGGUGAGUGGAAUUCCUGGUGUAGCGGUGAAAUGCGUAGAUAUCAGGAGGAACACCUGUGGCGAAAGCGGCUCACUGGACCAUAACUGACGCUGAUGCACGAAAGCUAGGGGAGCAAACAGG
rnacentral:rRNA from 1 species